UUGCUCCAUCCUGAUUGGGCCAUGUCAAGGUUUGGGUAAGCUUUAAUUAUUGCUGCCCUGCAGGAAUGUUGCCUUUCAAGGGUGAUGAAAGACUGUUA